rnacentral:rRNA from 1 species
CCUACGGGAGGCAGCAGUGAGGAAUAUUGGUCAAUGGCCGGAAGGCUGAACCAGCCAAGCCGCGUGAAGGACGAAGGUGCCAAGCAUUGUAAACUUCUUUUGUCAAGGGACAAAAUCAGGCUCGAGAGCCUGACCGAGGGUACUUGAAGAAAAAGCAUCGGCUAACUCCGUGCCAGCAGCCGCGGUAAUACUGAGGAUGCGAGCGUUAUCCGGAUUUAUUGGGUUUAAAGGGUGCGUAGGCGGGCUGUUAAGUCAGCGGUAAAAGCCCGGGGCUCAACCCCGGCGAGCCGUUGAAACUGGGGGUCUUGAGAUGUCGAGAGGUAUGCGGAAUGCGCAGUGUAGCGGUGAAAUGCUUAGAUAUUGCGCAGAACUCCGAUUGCGAAGGCAGCAUACCGGCGGCGAUCUGACGCUGAGGCACGAAAGCGUGGGUAUCGAACAGGAUUAGAUACCCCAGUAGUC